GAGUGAAGACAACAGGGAAACCCAAAGCUGACCUACAGUGGUCAGGGAAGAAUCCCAGGAAUGUGCCUUCCCAGUAUACCGUAGUUCCUGACCUACAAAUGAUGUUGAUUUUAUCGGACUCAAACUACUCUGUUGGACCCACAGGAGGUCUGACUUCUAUUCGAGGACCGUUUUGCUAUCACCUGGCUCCUCUGGUCUGGAAUCACCCCAGAGCCUUUCCUCUGUGACCUCCACUCCCUUCAUCUUUUGCUUCCUUAUAUCCUCGGAUUUUCUGACUUGACUUAGUUUCAUGGUUCUAUACCCUAAAGGGCCAAAAGUAAGUCUUCACGUUGGAAUUCUUUCUAUCUGAACCUAUUGUACACUUCUGGAUUUCAGGCUGUCUUGGAGACCAGGAAAGAUGCCCUGAGUCCCAGAUUUACCCAGUUGCCUCUGGUGAACACUGGCCUCUCACUUUUAUUCGUAUUUUUGGAAUGCCUGUGUCAAUAUUCUUUCCCCUGAAGAAGUAGAAAUGAGUGAGUGAUCUUUAGUCUUUGCAGCUGGACUGUGCAUCUAGAAUUAUUUGAAUAAUUAAGAGAGAAAGCAUGAGUCUUUGACUUCACUUCAAACUGUAGCUUGCCCUAACUCAUUGUUUACUUUAUGCUAAACUGGUAUGUCAUCUUUACAUUAUAGGUUAAAUUUGCACAAGGAGCUAGAGCUUUUCUUCCAAUCAGAGCCAAAGAAUAACAUAAGUCAACAGAAAAAUUAACUAAAAAAUUAAUAGCAUCCUGCUUUUCUGUUCCACACUGAGUGGCUACUCAUUAAUAAAGUUAAUGAACAUCAACUGUCCUGGUAUGAUAGGACUCUUACUCUGGGAAGAGCCACUCACAGUGUAUUUGCAGACAAUUAAAUAUUUAUGCUUGAAAAAUUUAAAUAAAAUAUGAUCAGAUGAAAUUUAGUUUUGAAUAUUCCUAGGUUUUCUCUUUGAAUGUCAGAAUUCAAGUUAUCAGAAAGUGCACCAUUGGAGUCCCUUUGACUUGAGAACAUUGAUUAAAAUACCAGCAUCUCCUCUAAACAUUUCUUGAAUACCUCUAUGCGUCAAGCUCUGUAAGAGGUUCAGGGGAGCCUCAGAGAGUUUCUGCACAGACCUAUCAAUUCGUGUGAAAAACUAAAAUAAAAAGGCUAAUUGCUUCCCUUAAAGAGCUUAAAGUCUUUUAAAAAUCAGAGAUACAAAUAGACAAUUACAGUGCUUUGUGGCUUAUGAUCUGGUAGAAAUAUAGAGGGGACUCCAAAGGAACCCAAAGAAGGGGCAUAAAAUCGAAUCAGUGAGGAAACGUGGAGGAGGCUUUCUGGAAAAGAAGACCUAUACUCAAAGUUGUGCAGAACUGCUGGCCCUUCUGGCAAAGGAAAUGUCAUGGGCCAAGACCAAGGGGAAAAGACAAACCCUGAGAAAACAAAAAGUAUUUCAGCAAGGCCAGAAUACAACAUGCAAGAAGGCGAGCGGUGUCAAUUAGGCAGGACUAGACAAUGAAGAGCAGCCUAUAUCAUAGCCAAUGUGAACGUUAUGCUGAAGUCUGUGGUCUAUUACAAGCUGUAGAGAUACUUUACCACUAUACAGGCAUUGUCCUCACCAAAAGGUAUAUGAGAAGUAGGCAAACCUGGAAACAAAGAGAUCAGUUGGAGGAAAUAAUGUUUAACAGGAAAACGACAUGGGGGUAGCCUGACCAAAAUAGUGGUGGCCAAGAAUGGAUAAAAGUGAAUGGUUUUUGGUGAUAAUGGAAAAAGUGGAACUAGGAUAACUUCCUGACUCAUUAGAUGUAAAAGAUGUUGUCAAGGCAGGAAACUGGGGUGAGGUUUAUGUUUCUGACUCAGGUAGAGUUUGCUGUGUCUUCCACCAGGAGGGCAAGGAAGAGGGAAGGCUGAUCGUUUCAAGUGGCAACAGACAGAGAGACAGAAAGAGAAAAGAGAGAGAACAAGAUUGUGAAAGCAUGUGAUGACUGGAGUUACUUUAAUCACAAAAGACAAAAUGAAAUGCGUGUGUGUGUUUGUUUUUAUUAAAAAAAUAUAAUUUUAUCCAUAGUAUUAUUGUCUGGAAUUAUGUAGACUUGAAUGUAGACACUUAGAAUCACUCACAUAAAAUUAUAACAUUUUAUUGGAGAGUAAAAAAAUAACCUCUUUUCUUUAAUGAGACAUCUCCCAAAACAUGAGUCUACACUUUCAAGAAUGUGGGCAAAGCCCCUUGUAAAAAUCCUCAUAUUCAAAAGAAAUUAAUUAUUGCAGGAAACCAGCAUAAAUAUAGACCUACUGACUUACAGAGCCCAUGGUUCUCAAUGCAGAUCUUUUGAAAUCCUACUUCUGCUUCUCAUCCCUACUCAGAGGCUACUUCCUCCCUAAGGCUUUUCCGACCAUCCUCCAACCUCUGAAGUCCUUGAAUAUGCUGUGCCAUUCUUAAGACCUUGAUCAUGAAUUACUUUGUAUUGUAGCUGCUUUUGUUCAUUAAUAGUUCUCCUUGAGAUAGUUAUAAUUUCUAAAUAGAAUUCACUGGCGCUCCAUAUUUGACUAUAUAAUAGACGUACAAUUAGCUAAAGGAUUUGUUAAAUUUAUUUUUGAAAUGUCGAUUUUUUUAGACACUCAUACUGGGAAAUGGGAUCAGUGCUUCACAUAACUCCUUUAAAAGCUAAUCAUUUUAGUGACAAUGUCAGUCAAUUAACCUUUAUAGCUAUUGAGGCCAUUACUACUGUAUCUUAACAAAAUGAAUUUGAGUGAUCAGAUGUUCUCCUUUAAGAAAAUCUUCCCAACAGAAGUGGCUCAGUUAUUUCAAUAGAAGUAAUAGACAGUGUUCUGGAGUAAGAAACAGAAUUAAGAGCCUAACUACACUAUUACUAUAAAGUAGUAGCCUAUAUAAUUUAUUGAAUUGUUGUGUUUCAAUGAGCAUGACUUUUCGACUGUGUGUAACUGUGAUUAUAACAUUGAUUUGUGUUUUAUUUUAAUUUGAAGCAAUUAUAUAUUAAGAGGUAUUAUACAGGAUGCUGUGAGCAGACUGGUGUGGAUUUUGGCAAAGGCACAUUUGUAAGAUGAGGUUGUGAUUUUAUUAUUGUGCUGUACUCCAAGACCUAAGACUUAAUGGAAAUAACUUUAAUUUAUUAAAAUAAAAUAAAUCUAAUCUA
rnacentral:lncRNA from 1 species